rnacentral:rRNA from 1 species
GACGAACGCUGGCGGCGUGCCUAAUACAUGCAAGUAGAACGCAGUUGCGAACGGGUGAGUAACGCGUAGGUAACUGCCUCAUUGCGGGGGAUAACUAUUGGAAACGAUAGCUAAUACCGCAUACUGUGAGACGGACCUGCGUUGUAUUAGAUAGUUGGUGAGGUAAAGGCUCACCAAGGCGACGAUACAUAGCCGACCUGAGAGGGUGAUCGGCAAAAAUGAGACUGAGACACGGCCCAGAAUCCAACGGGAGGCAGAAGUAGGGAGUCUUGGACAAUGGACGGAAGUCUGACCGGGCAACGCCGCAGUAGUGAAGAAGGUUUUCAGAUCGUGAAGCUCUGUUGUUAGAGAAGCGAAAACUAACAAGAGAGGGACGGCUAACUACGUGCCAGCAGCCGCGGUAAUUC